rnacentral:rRNA from 1 species
UACAGAGGUCUCAAGCGUUGUUCGGAUUCAUUGGGCGUAAAGGGUGCGUAGGUGGCGGGGUAAGUCAGGUGUGAAAUCUCGGGGCUCAACCCCGAAACUGCACCUGAUACUGCCUUGCUCGAGUACUGGAGAGGAGAUUGGAAUUUACGGUGUAGCAGUGAAAUGCGUAGAUAUCGUAAGGAAGACCAGUGGCGAAGGCGAAUCUCUGGACAGUUACUGACACUGAGGCACGAAGGCCAGGGGAGCAAACGGG